UACGUAGGGGGCUAGCGUUGUCCGGAAUCAUUGGGCGUAAAGAGCGUGUAGGCGGCCCGGUAAGUCCGCUGUGAAAGUCGGGGGCUCAACCCUCGGAUGCCGGUGGAUACUGUCGGGCUAGAGUACGGAAGAGGCGAGUGGAAUUCCUGGUGUAGCGGUGAAAUGCGCAGAUAUCAGGAGGAACACCAAUUGCGAAGGCAGCUCGCUGGGACGUUACUGACGCUGAGAGACGAAAGCUAGGGGAGCAAAUGGG
rnacentral:rRNA from 1 species